CAAUUUCUGUGAAAGAUGCCACUGAGUCAUUCAAUCUGUGGCACUUGUAUCGAGGUCACAAAUACACAAAUAGAGAGAGAUAAAGAGAUGCUUCACUCACCAAAUGUAAACAGAAACACUCAUAUUAUACUUGUAGUACUAGUAUACUUUAGUUAGUUGGUACAUGAACAAUCAAGAAUAUAAAACACAUUAAUGUUUUUUUUGUGUGUGUUUAUAUGAACAAUCAAGAAUUAAAAACACAUUAGUAUGUGUGUUUUUUUAUAGUAGGAGUAGUAGGCUUUAGUUAGGACAAGAACAAUCAAGAUUUUGAAAGACAUUAGUUUGUGUGUGUGUGUGUGUUUUUCUUGGUAUAAUCAAAGAAAGAAAGAAAAGGGGGAAAAAAUGGGCUCCUCAAAAACUCAUCAUUGUGUCUUCAAUCCCAAGCUAAAAAAGAAAGACAUGAUGUGAUUGCUCCCAUUACAUGUUUUUUUUUUUCUAACCCUCUCUCUCUUAUUAGUAGUGUAGCAAAAAGCUUCCAUCUUUCUGCAAUUUCAGUGAGGAAUCUUGAACUUACUGAGCUGAUUAGCAAAAUCCCAGUUGUUGGAUGAACUUCAGAGCAGAUUAGCAAAAUCCCAGUUUUGGGCAAUUCCAUUGAGGAAUCUUGAACUUCAGAGCUGAUUAGCAAAUCCCAGUUGUUGGAGUAGUUUUGGGCAAUUUCUCUGAGGAAUCUUUAACUUCAGAGCAGACUAACAAAACCCCAGGUGCUUUCUUCUCUCUCUCUCUGUCUCUCGACGAUCUUUUGAGAAAUGUUGUGAUGUUGCUCAAGUUUGAUCCAUUUUUGGGUUUUUAUUGGAGGUUGUUGGAGUAGUUAAGGAUUUCAACUUUAGUCAUUCAUAAUUUGCUAAAGUUUGACCCUUUUCUUCAUGGUGCAUACUUUUUAGUCUUGAAUGCAGUGGCGGAGCCAGAAUUUUCACCUAGGGGUUCACAAGUGAACAUAUAAACUAAUCGAAGGGGGUUCGACAUCUAAUAGAUAUACAUAAAAAAUAAUUUUAACCAUGUAUAUAUAGUAUAAUUUUCCGUCGAAGG